GAUUGGUACUGCAAGACUUGCGUGGGUUUGAGACUAAUGGCAAACUCAAGAAGAAGUCUGAAAAAGAUGAGAACUGUGGAUUUAAAAAAGUGGUUUGAGGCAUGAUUAACCCGAAACGGGAAAAGACUGAAGCUGUGACUUGUGAUGCAAGGGGAAAAAAAUCAGGAGGGGUGGAGUUUUAAAUGGCCUUGGAGAAAAGUACAAGAACUGUUACACUCCUGCAGGAAAAUAAGGAAAUCUAGUAGAAAGAUAACAGAAGAUGAUCAGAAUUUUUGUUCAUUGUUUUGCUUUUUGUCAACCAAAAUUCUGCAAUACUAGAGGGCAUUAGAAGCAGAGAUUAUGAGAAGCACAGCUGCAGAUAUACAGGACACAGCUAAAAACAGCUUCUAGAGGAUGUUUUAUUUGCUUCUCUGCUUCAGCAGAAGACAACCGUACGCUCAGUGAGAGACUAAAAGCAGCCUGUAAUCAUCAACCAGUCAGUCAGACACAACUCUCCUGGGCAGAGUGAGAAAGGAUGCACAGCCUGCAGAUCUUCCAGCAGGUUUGAAGGUAAGAGGAACAGAGUAUCUGGACAAGGAGAGAAGCAUGCAGGAGGGAGAUGUGAGAAGGUGAGUCUGUUUCACCUAGUGCUAUUAAGGAGCCAGCUUUGUUGCCAUUGCAACAUCACUUGCAAAACACAAGUCCAAUCCCUAAUGAGCUUAACUUUAAAAAUAAGAGAAAGCCUUUCUUGCUUCAGAGUACUUGUUAUGUUCUCAGAAUGUGUUGUUCUCUUUCCAAAAACUUUUCAUCUUAAAGUGAAUUUUCGCCAACCGGUCUGAGAUGAAGCUCUGUGAAACAACAUGGCAAAAGAACAAGGCUGCGUGCCAUUCAACUUUAAUAAGUCAUGGGAGAAGAUAUUGUUUAGCCUUUCAGAGUUUAUACUUUCAGAUCUGUAACUGUAAGUAAUUAAAAGGAGGCAAGCCAUCUUGAUCUGUCUAUGCUCCAGCUCUUACAGGGCCCAGUGUCCUGCAUCUGGCAUGGCUCAAGGGUCUGAGUCCUUUUUGAAAGGGAAGGGACUAAUUGGAUUGGCUGCUCCUUGCUAGUGGUGCAGGCAGCUCUGUGGGCAGUGGGGAGAGUUCAUGGGGUGUCCAGGCUGGCUAGGGAAAAAGAAGAACAUUGCUAAACUUUUCCCUUCUUGCAAAGCAGCUUUUUUGUUUUGAAAUAAAUAUAAAAUAAAAUAUCUCCAAUAUUUUGGACCCUUGUGCAAAGCUUUGGAUCCUGAAGAUCUGGGCUGGGGAGUGAGUGCACAUGCAAAGCCACAGCACAGCUGUGGCCCCACACCACCUUUGGAAGGCAUGUGUGACCAGCAGCUGGGAGCAGGCUGGGGAGGCAUGCAGAGGUGGCAGAUCUCCUUAGGAGUCUGGUCUGGCUUGUAAAAUGCACCAGGAAGGAUCCUGGAGUUCUAGUCCACAGAGUCACCUAGGGCAAAACAAGAGGCAGGACAGAGAUUUGGGAGGCUAAAUCUAGACAUCUUACAACAAGCAAGACUUUCAUGGCAAAAACCUCUCUGAAAGGUUUACAGUACUUUCUGCACAGAGCAAAAGACAGAAGCCAAAAGACAGGGGUUUAAUGUCCAGCAGAAAAGAUUGUAGAUGAGCAGGGACUCAGAAUCAUAGGAAUGAGGCGUUCUUCUGUUAUGCAGAAUAUGUAUUACAGGCAUAUGAACUCUGUAUAGACAUUUAAAGACACCAAACUUCUAGCACUUGAAACAAGAACAUUGUGAAUGAGUUUUUAAACUGAAGAGAAUUAAAGGAAGCUGGUGGGUAUGAAAGACCUCACAGUCUGAGACGAUUCUUUUGUACUGGAUUCCAUACCCAAACAGGAGACAGAUUAGAACAUUGAUAGUCACCUAAGAAGUGGAAAACUGUCAUUUGGUCUGCAUGCUUCUGGAGGAUGAACAAUCAGGAGCAGGAGAACACACUGAUGAGAGAGAAUGGGCCAUUCUUGAACUUGGAUGAGGUGAUCCUAGAAAACCAGUAAGAAGCACAGCAGAGCAGAGAGAAGCCAACAAGCACAGAGCAACAGGCAGCAGAUCUUAUGCAUGCAAUUCAACUUCCAGGGCCACCCACUGCUUCACCACAGGAAUUGGGAUGGACUGAGUGUAUCCUGCAGCAAGAAUAAGGGAAACUGAGACUAAGAAGUAAGGAGGAUAUAUUCUCUCUUUGUUGUCUAAUACCUGGAUCAAUUAUCAAAAUUUUCUGUUAAUUAGUAAUUAAUUAAAUAAGAAAAAAUUGCCUACUUUUUGCUUGUGAUGCUAGCAAGUGCAAUAGCCAAACAUUCAUUUCACAACACUAUGGACAUCCUUUGGCAUAAUCUGCUUUGAUAAAGUGGAGGUACAUUAAAGUCUUUGGCAACUACAGGUACACUCACUCCUUACACUGUCUGAGAACUCUAAAGAGGGUUCUGGUAGUAGUAGAGAAAAGCCAGCUAAGCAGUCGAACCUAAAGCAAGCUUUGACUACAUCAAUAUGCUGACUACAUCAAUAUGCUGAUUAAUGCAACUAACAGAUAUGUUGGUUUGAGUUUACUGCUGCACUUCUGUUAUUACUCAGUUUUGAAACUACAUCUGGUUUAUAUCUGUUUCGGAGCCGUGAAACAGACACACAAAGGACUGCGCCCAUCUCUAGACAUUUCCUACUGGGCUUGUUUCUACCAUGCUCUGAGCAUGACCUGCUGAGUGUUUGCUCUGUGAGGAACUAAAAUUCUGGCCUCUGGUCUGACUAUGGAAAAGCCUCUGAACAUGUUGGAGAGAAUGUCUGGACAUGGACUCUGUGAAGGUUGAGAGCUGUAGAAUACAGGAAUUUUAUGGGUAUGACUAGAAUUUUUGUUUAAUUUGUGUGUAUGUUUUAAAAAAUGCAAAUUCUGAAAUUAAAUAAAGAAUAACAAAGAA